GUCUUGUUUAGGCAGCCUUAUUGAAAUUCU
rnacentral:piRNA from 1 species